AAAAAAAUUAACGACGUUUUUGUCUACAAUUGUCUAUCCUGUUACUGUAACCAUAGCAACCAUAGUAACAGGAUAGACAUAACAGGAUAGACAAAUUUCUUCGUUUUUGAUUGCUGUUGUGAAAUAACUACUCCCUUUGGUGAAGUGAUUAUGUUUUUCUAUUGUGAAUUUGGUUUCCAACACGUUAUUGCACUUUUUACAAGUAUACUGUUGGUGUAUUUAAUCAAAAUUGGUGGUAACAGCAUAGACAUGAAAAAAAGUACGCUAUAUUUUUUUUUCACUAAAUGUCUUGAAAUUUCUUUUCUCUACACUGUCGUUCAAGAAACGAGGCGUUUUAAAUGUAAAGAUUACUUUGCACUUUUGAGAUCAACACUGACUGAUUCAAUAUUCAUAGGGAAGAUAAUUUCACGGCUGAUUUAAGUAG
rnacentral:lncRNA from 1 species